AUGUUCGACACAGAUCCUGAUCUUUGGAUUGCAGUAGCAGCUAUGCAAUUUGAAGGACCAGCAGCGCGUUGGCUCUCAUCAGUACAGCAUAAGUUUGUUCGAGCAUCAUGGGAUGAGUUUUGUGCUGCCGUCCUUGCUCGCUUUGGGCGCAAUCAGCAUAAAUCACUUGUGCGCAAAUUGUACAGGCUGCAACAGACAGGAUCUGUGGAGGAAUACAUUGCUCAAUUCUCAGAGUUGAUGGAUCAGUUGACCACUUAUGAACCUGAUCCUGAUAUGUUACACUAUACCACGCGUUUUAUUGAUGGUCUGAAACACACUGUCAGGAUGGUGGUUGCAGUACAAAGGCCUGCUGAUUUAGAUGCAGCUUAUUCCAUUGCCGCCGUGCAAGAAGAGGUUGCUGAUUGUGAACCAGAGUACACUCAUUCCAGCAGGCGAGCUAGUUACUCCAAUCCAUCUCGGCAGUAUAAACAGUCAGCUGAACAUAAAGUGCCAAUUGAGGUCCGAGUACCUGAAACACAAAAGGUCACUUCAGUUCCUGAGGACAAGUUAGCCACUCUCAAGGCUUACAGGAGGGUAAAAGGUUUGUGUUACAUAUGUGGUGAGAGGUGGGGCAGAGAUCACAAGUGCAAUAAUACAGUGCAACUGCAUGUUGUGCAGGAGAUAUUGGAAUUUUGUGCUACUGAUCCUGUGGAAUCUGAUGAUAGUGAAGUGGAUUUGAUGGUAUUAUCUGCAGAAACACAAACAUCUGAUCCGGCUAACAGUGCUAUUCGACUCACUUGUCAAGUUGGAGGACAGGAAGUAGUCUUCUUAUUGGACUCUGGUAGCUCACAUUCAUUUCUCAGUGACAGAUUGGCAGGUCAUUUAGUGGGUCAGCAACCUUUGAGCAAGGUGCAGAAAGUCAGGAUCGCUGGAGGAGGACAACUGGAAUGCUCUUCUUGGAUUCCUAACUGUGGAUGGUCAGUGGGAGGACAUCAGUUUGUUAAUGAUUUCAAAAUCCUACCUCUGCAACAUUAUGAUGGGAUUAUUGGGAUGGAUUGGCUCUCAGCUCAGGGAACUAUGAGCGUUAAUUGGUUACAAAAAUGGCUAUCCUUUGAUUACAAGGGCACAAAAGUGGUUCUACAAGGAGAUCUGCCAUCUGAGUGUGAAUUCAUUGUGGUAGAACUACAACUUAUCCAAGACACACAAGAGACAAAAGUGACUGUGAUGGAGGAUGUACCUGAAGAAAUUCAACAAGUCAUUGCUUCCUUUGCUGAUAUUUUUGAGGAACCUACUGGUCUUCCUCCUCGUCGCUCCUGUGAUCACAAAAUACCACUGGUGGAGGGAGCUCGUCCUGUUAACAUUAGACCAUACAGGUAUUCCCUGAGCAAAAGACAGAAAUAG
rnacentral:rRNA from 1 species